rnacentral:rRNA from 1 species
CAGGCCUAACACAUGCAAGUCGAGCGGUAAGGCCUUUCGGGGUACACGAGCGGCGAACGGGUGAGUAACACGUGGGUGAUCUGCCCUGCACUCUGGGAUAAGCUUGGGAAACUGGGUCUAGUACCGGAUAUGACCACAGCAUGCAUGUGUUGUGGUGGAAAGAUUUAUCGGUGCAGGAUGGCCCGCGGCCUAUCAGCUUGUUGGUGGGGUAAUGGCCUACCAAGGCGACGACGGGUAGCCGACCUGAGAGGGUGACCGGCCACACUGGGACUGAGACACGGCCCAGACUCUACGGGAGGCAGCAGUGGGGAAUAUUGCACAAUGGGCGAAAGCCUGAUGCAGCGACGCCGCGUGAGGGAUGACGGCUUCGGGUUGUAAACCUCUUUCAGUAGGGAAGAAGCGAAAGUGACGGUACCUGCAGAAGAAGCGCCGGCUAACUACGUGCCAGCAGCCGCGGUAAU